GCGACUCUUGGCGGUGGAUCACUCGACUCGAGCAUCAAUGAACGAACGCAGCUAGCUGCGAGAAUUUGCGUGAAUUGCAGGACACAUUGAUCAUCAACACUUCGAAUGCACCUUGCAGCCACGGGUUCCUCCCGGGGCUAUGCCUGUCAGAGUCGCUUGAACGUCAACCGCAUCAGGGUUCCCUUCCUGGGAUGUGGCUGGGCUGUCGCAGGGACCCCAUUCCCUUCGUCCCCCUAAGGUCAGACACCGAUCAGCACUGUUGCAGGAUCCCUGGACCUGGCAUGCAGACUUGUUGCUGGCAAGUCCCGGCCUCCCUCGUUUACCCACCUAGUGUAGGUUUUGGGAGGGGCGGGCACCCGGCACACCCUGGUGCGGUGGUGGGCCUUGGAAAAGCCUGGUGCACCUUCACCCUUGUGUGGCUGUUUGUGGUGCCCCAGGGCAGUCGGCACGGAACAGACCUGGAGCGCGGCCCUCAAACCAGUGCGCUUGGGCCACAGGUCAGGACAACGCACACUCAGCCACGUUGGAGGAGUGGGGCUAGGGCAACCCCUGUAUAUCCCUGGGUUGGACUGCCAAGCUUCGCCACCUAACCCCCCCCGCUCCUCCGUCCCCCCCCGCUCCUGACUACGACCUCAGAUCAGACGUUGCAACUCGCUGAAUUUAAGCAUAUUACUAACUGGAGUAAAAGAAACUAACCAGGAUUCCCUCAGUAACGGCGAGAAAAGAAGGAGAGCCCAGCGCUGAAUCCCCAUCCGGCAAAGGAAAUAAGGAAAAGGAAAUGUGGCGUAGAGAAGACUGACUCCCCAGUGUCACUCAGGGAGUCCAAGUCAUUCUGAUCGAGGCUCACCCGCAGACGGUGUUAGACCGGUGGCAGUCCCCUGUGCUCCUGGAUCGGGUUGCUUGGGAAUACAGCAGAAAGCAGGUGGUAAACUCCAUCUAUAGCUAAAUACGGGUGCGAGACUGAUAGCCAACAAGUACUGUAGGGGAAAGUUGUAAAGAACUUUGAAGAGAGAAGGCGUGAAACAGUCGAAAGGUAAAUGGGUGGGGUCCGUGCAGUCAGCCCAGAGGAUUCAACACAGCGGUCAGGUCGGUAGCCCAGAACGGCUGAUCCCCUCACGAGACCGCUACCUGGGCGCACCUGGCCCCCGCAGGGCACAUUUCCUCUGUGGUGGUACACCGUGACUGGCUACGGGUCAGCUGGGAAGGCCCUAGGGGCAGGUGGCUCUCCGCUUCGGUGGAGAGUGUUACAGCCCCCUGGCAGCAAUUUCGCCAUGUCCACGGGACAGAGGGAGAUUGACAGCUGCCGCGCGCUUCUCCGUCAACUGUCCCGGCCCCUCUCAGUGGGCCCCCUGCUCCCGGUGUGACUGUCGACUGGGGUGGACUGUCCUCAGUGUGCCCCGACCUCCCGGCGCUGAGGGAUGGCUCACGAAGGGCGCUAGGGGUCUGCGCUGAUGUCGGUUACCCACCUGACACGCCUUGAAACAUGGGCCAAGGAGUCUAACAUGUACACGAGUCGGAGGGCCACUUUUGGUAAGCAGAACCGGUGCUGCAGGAUGAACCGAACGUCGGGUAAAGGCACCCGAUGCCGAGGCUAUUCAGACUCCAGAAAAGGUGUUGGUUGAUAUAGAUAGCAGGACGGUGGACAUGAAAGUCAGAAUCCGCUUAGAAGUAUGUAACAAAUCACCUGCUGAAUCAGCUAGCCCUGAAAAUGGAUGUUCCAUGGCCAGCGCUGAGAGCCACGGGGGCUAAGCAGCGAUGAGUAGGGGGGCCACUGCUGUGCACACGGAAGUCUAGAGCGAGGGCCCGGGUGGAGUCGCUGCAGGUGCAGAUAUUGGUGGUAGUAGCAAAUAUUCAAACGAGAACUUUGAAGGCCGAAGUGGAGAAGGGUUCCAUGUGGACAGCAAUUGAACAUGGGUCAGUCGGUCCUAAGAGAUGGGCGAGUGUCGUUCGGAAGGAACAGGUGAUGGCCUCCAUUGCCCUCAGCCGAUCGAAAUUGAGUCAGGUUCAGAUCCCCGAUCCCGGAGUGGCAGAGACGAGAGCCCUCACGGGUAAACAGCGGGAGUAAACUAUGACUCUCUUAAGGUAGCCAAAUGCCUUGUCAUCGAAUUAGGGACACGCAUGAAUUGAUGAACGAGAUUUCCACUGUCCCUACCCACUAUCUGGCAAAACCACAGCCAAGGGAACAGACUAGGCAGAAUCAACGGCGAAAGAAGUCACAGUGGAGCUUGACUCGAGUCUGGCACUAUGAAGAGACAUGAGAGGUGUAGGGUAAGUGGGAGGCCGUUGGUACUACUCUUUAUUUUUUCACCUACCCGGUUUGGCCGGCGGGGGCGAGCCCUAUGGGGCUCUCGCUUCUGACUUCAAGCGCCGGGUGGACGCGACCCACUCUGUGUACAGUGGCAGGUGGGGAGUUUGACUGGGGCAGUACACCUGUCAAACAAUAACGCAGGUGUCCUAAGGCGAGCUCAGGAUGGACAUAAACCUCCCACGGAGCAGAAGGGCAAAAGCUUGCUUGAUCGCAAUUUUGAGUAUGAAUACAGACUGCAAAAGCAGGGCCUCACGAUCGUUCUGACUUUUUGGGUUUCAAGCAGGUGUCAGAAAAGAUACCAUAUGGAUAACUGGCCUGUGGCGGCCAAGCGUUCAUAGCAACGUUGCUUUUUGAUCUUUCAAUGUCGGCUCUUCCUAUCAUUGUGAGGCAGAAUUCACCAAGCGUUGGAUUGUUCACCCAGUAAUAGGGAACGUGAGCUUGGUUUAGACCGUUUUGAGACAGGUUUAGUUUUACCCUACUGAUGAUGUGUUGUUGCAAUAGUAAUCCUGCUCAGUACGAGAGGAACCGCAGGUUCAGACAUGUGGUGUAUCUGCUUGGCUGAGGAGCCAAUAGGGCGAAGUUACCAUCUGUGGGAUUAUGAAUAAAUGCCUCUUAGUCAGAAUCUCACCUAAACCAUAACGAUACCGCAGCGCUGUGGAGCCUCGGUUGGCCUUGGAUAGCCGGCCUCUGGGCCAGUGCAUAGAGUCACUCGCCUCGGGACUACAGUGUGGACAGAAUGGGGCAACUUCUCUCACCUGUAGUGCACCACAUGU
rnacentral:rRNA from 1 species